AAAUAUUAUUGUUUGCCUUAUGGUGCUGCUGCUGCUAGGAAAUUCCACUCGUGCUGGUAUAAAAUCGUUAUCCCUUUCCCUAUAUAUGUUUCCUUUCUCAUGCCAACGAGAGUAGGAUAAUAUUUUCGGCUGAGCUACAUGAAUUUUCAUGGAACUUUCCCAAUUUGGACUUCUUUUAAUGAUAUACAUCCUUGUCUACAGAGAACAGUGAACUGCAUAUUGGUUUUUCAUGCCCUUCAUGCACCGAAUUGAUUUGCCAUUAUGUCAGCCAAAGUUCCUAAGGAAGUCACGCCAAGAAAUCUAAUUGUAUGUCUGUCAACGUUUCCUCCGUUUGGAAUUGUAAUUGCAUCAUAUGUGACUAGAGUUGUCAAACAAUGGAUAAUGAAGUGGCCCAAUAAUAAAAUUUUCUUGUAACAUGCAUGUGAGAAUGUAUAUUGACCACCAAGCUUGGAUGUACCUUCUGUAACACCAUGUGUUAUUCUGGAUGUUCAAAAAGAAAAGAAAAGAAU
rnacentral:lncRNA from 1 species